rnacentral:misc_RNA from 1 species
GAAAUGCGAUAAGUAGUGUGAAUUGCAGAAUUCAGUGAAUCAUCGAAUCUUUGAACGCACAUUGCGCCCCUUGGUAUUCCAUGGGGCAUGCCUGUUCGAGCGUCAUUUGUACCUUCAAGCUCUGCUUGGUGUUGGGUGUUUGUCUCGCCUCUGCGUGUAGACUCGCCUCAAAACAAUUGGCAGCCGGCGUAUUGAUUUCGGAGCGCAGUACAUCUCGCGCUUUGCACUCAUAACGACGACGUCCAAAAGUACAUUUUUACACUCUUGACCUCGGAUCAGGUAGGGAUACCCGCUUAACUUAAGC